UACGGGGGGAGCAAGCGUUGUUCGGAUUUACUGGGCGUAAAGGGCGCGUAGGCGGCCACCGCAAGUCGACUGUGAAAUCUCCGGGCUUAACCCGGAAAGGUCAGCCGAUACUGCGGGGCUAGAGUGCAGAAGGGGCAACUGAAAUUCUCGGUGUAGCGGUGAAAUGCGUAGAUAUCGAGAGGAACACCUGCGGCGAAGGCGGGUUGCUGGGCUGACACUGACGCUGAUGCGCGAAAGCUAGGGGAGCGAACGGG
rnacentral:rRNA from 1 species